GUCUGGAGGUUGUCACUGCUGAGUACUGGGUGUGUAAAUGUCGAUGUUCCAGCGUUUGGACCGCCGCUGCUGCGUUUCACUCAGAUGUUGCAUAACACCGGUUUACUUGGAGUGUUUGACCUGCAGUGCACAUUGCUAGGAAUCGUGGCUGAGAUGGAGACCAGGAUUUCAGUCAUUGUUUCUAGUAGUGGGCGCUGCAGAUAUUCAGCUUUUUGCCAUGCAUAUUUGGAGUAAUAUCUACAAUCCCAAUGAGAACAAGCUUACAAUACACGAAUGGCACAUAAAUGGAUGUGUACAAGAAACACCUUGGGUUGCCGCUGGAUGGCAGUAGACCGCAAGGAAAGUGUCAACGGAGAACAAGAAGUUGCCGUUUCAACCUGCAAGUAACCGUGCACAUCUCUGGCAUGUUGGUGAACCUGCCCUGGAGAGGCAUUUGUUUGGCACUGAGACUUCCUCAUUCAUUUGUAAUUCAGGCCUUUAUGCAGAUAAUAUCCACACCAGAGUUUGAUCAUGCAUUUAUUGUGAUUCGUUUGAAAGCUUUUAGUUUUCCGUUAUCUUAGGUUGAGUUGUUUGGGUCAGUGACAAAUAAAGCUGAGUGUUUAUGAUGGUUGGUUUUAAACUUAUUUUUAACUUAAUAAAAGUGUUAUAUCCACAAAGUAACAUUUCCUUACAACAAAUUACAUAAUUAAAAAAUAUCAGGCGACAGGCGCCCCUCUAUGAUAUCAUUUCCUGAUCUGUUUUUUACCACAUGACAACAAAAUGGCUUCUCAGGUAGUGAUUAUAUUGUAUCUUCCUAAUAUAUAUAUAUAUAUAUAAAUUUUGACAGGAAGACCUUCUGUCAGGUUAUUUCCAGAUUGCAGUUUAUUUGAAUCAGAUAUGGUGGAUUUCAAUUAUUUCAUUGACACAAACAUACCCUUUAAAAGUAAUUUAUUUGAUAUUUACAGUUGGCCAGUGGAAGCUAUGAUAAUGUGCAAGUUACAAACACUUUUGCCGGUCACAAAACGUUUCCAGCAGCAGCUGAUUGUAAAAGAAACCGGCAUGAGCGUCGUCUCCAUACAGUGAUUGAAAACUUCUAAAGCCUGUCACUCAGUCACACACAUACACAAACAUUUACAAUGGCAUAUCAGGUGCGAAAAGUUCAGUUUGCAAAACCUUAGUAAACCAGGAACAAACAAAUCACAUGACCAUCGGAUAUUGUCAGUUUUACAGCAAUACCUAUUUUUUUUAAAUCCCUGAAUGUUAAACAUUUGGCACAGACAAAUCCAGCCAAUUAUUACAAUAAUUGUAACAUACAAUGUUCUUUUCAAAUACUACAGCGCACUGCGAUAUGCCCCAUGAUAUGCGCUAGAUUGACACAGCACUGAAAGAGAGAGAAAUAUAUGCACAUUCAUCACUAAAACACACAUUAAGUGAUUCAAAACUGAUUCAGUAAUACAAUUUACAGAAAAUGUUCUUAAUCACCUUGUAAGCCUAUAGCCGCAUGGCAACAGAAGAUAUUUUCCCUAAAAGUAUAUUGGACACAUUUCAGGCCAUGCCUUUCAUUGGAAUGCACCAACACAAACUACUGUAGCACAUUGAGCGCAACAUGAGAGCGUUCAGCACUAGCGAUCGAACACUGGUCUUAAAUAGGCACUAAUGCGAUACAAAAGUAGCUGCUGUAUUAAGUUGUCUCUGUACAGGAUGCUACAUGUAA